rnacentral:rRNA from 1 species
UAAUACGUAGGGCGCAAGCGUUGUCCGGAAUUAUUGGGCGUAAAGAGCUCGUAGGCGGUUUGUCGCGUCUGCUGUGAAAGCCCGGGGCUCAACCCCGGGUCUGCAGUGGGUACGGGCAGACUAGAGUGCAGUAGGGGAGACUGGAAUUCCUGGUGUAGCGGUGAAAUGCGCAGAUAUCAGGAGGAACACCGAUGGCGAAGGCAGGUCUCUGGGCUGUUACUGACGCUGAGGAGCGAAAGCAUGGGGAGCGAACAGG